GUGGGGGAGGUGGGGAACCGUGCGGUGGCGGGGCGCCGAUGGCAGCGUCAGCGUCCGUUCCUUCUGCGCCCGGCCCAGCGACUG
rnacentral:miRNA from 1 species